rnacentral:rRNA from 1 species
UGAUUCCGUCCGAGGAUGAGUUCGCGUCCUAUUAGCUUGUUGGUGGGGUAAUGGCCUACCAAGGCGGUGAUGGGUACCGGGUGUGAGAGCAUGACCCGGCUCACUGGGACUGAGACACUGCCCAGACACCUACGGGUGGCUGCAGUCGAGAAUCUUCGGCAAUGGGCGCAAGCCUGACCGAGCGACGCCGCGUGCGGGAUGAAGGCCUUCGGGUUGUAAACCGCUGUCAGAGGGAAGGAAAUACAUGAGGGUUCUCUCUCAUGUUUGACCGAUCCUCAGAGGAAGUACGGGCUAAGUUCGUGCCAGCAGCCGCGGUAACACGAACCGUACGAACGUUAUUCGGAAUCACUGGGCUUAAAGGGUGCGUAGGCGGCUUGGUAAGUUGAGUGUGAAAUCCCCCGGCUCAACCGAGGAAUUGCGCUCAAAACUAUCCGGCUUGAGGAAGGCAGAGGUAAGCGGAACUAAUGGUGGAGCGGUGGAAUGCGUUGAUAUCAUUAGGAACACCUGAGGCGAAAGCGGCUUACUGGGCCUUUCCUGACGCUGAGGCACGAAAGGUAGGGGAGCCAACGGGAUUAGAUACCCCGGUAGUCCUAUCUGUAAACGAUGAGCACUGGAUUGAGGGGACCUCCACAUCCUCUCGGUCGUAGCGAAGGUGUUAAGUGCUCCGCCUGGGGAGUAUGGUUGCAAGGCUGAAACUCAAAGGAAUUGACGGGGGCUCACACAAGCGGUGGAGGAUGUGGCUUAAUUCGAGGCUACGCGAAGAACCUUAUCCUGGUCUUGACACGCUUGAGAAUCCUCUUGAAAGAGAGGAGUGCCCUUCGGGGAGCUCUUGCGCAGGUGCUGCAUGGCUGUCGUCAGUUCGUGUCGUGAGAUGU